CUUUGAUAUGUUUGCGUAGUUCGAUUACAUAAACCACUUUAUCAUUCUUGUCUGUGUUUGUGUAGACCACGAACGACCCAACACACCUGUCACCCGUGCCUCGCCCGAUGAGCUGCCUGACCAUUUAUUGAAAUACAACACUAUAACAGACUCUGAGCAGCGGCAGAGAUACAAAGAGGAUUUCUGUGCAGAAUAUGACGAGUACAGAGACCUUCAUGAACGUAUAGGGAAAGUUACAGAGAUGUUUGUUCAGCUGGGAUCCAAGAUAAAGACGCUGUCUCCCGGGACACACAAGUAUAAGGUAAUGGAGGAUCAAAUAAUGGAGAAGUAUAGGAAGUAUAAGAAGAAGUUUCCAGGCUACCGGGAAGAAAAGAAGCGCUGCGAGUAUCUCCAUCAGAAACUAUCACACAUCAAAGGCCUGAUUCUGGACUAUGACCGCACACAAGCGCUCUCCUAGUGCCAGCCGUUCCACUCUCCUCCUCCUUCCCAGUCUGCUCGCAUGGACCAAACGACUCCUCAGUGGAAAUAAACCAGGGCCAAACGUCUCUCUUGAACACGACAAGGCAUUUCCACGUCUUUCCUCCCCACGAACUGUGGGUAACAAUGUGGAGGCUGAGGAUCUAAGCCCAAACUAUCAAACAAAGGCCAAGACCUCCAACUAGUGACUUAAGCCCUUUAAAGUUUUUUUUUUCUUUUUCAUUCUCGUGUAAAAAGUGUUGCAUUGAGGAAUUGGUUAGAUGUGAGACACAACCUAAGCCAAAAUAGUUAUUUUUUUCCUACCCAAAUGCAGCAUAUGUGUAACCGUUGCCCUUGGAUCUCCUAACUUCGGCUCUGAGCUCUGACCUUCAGGGCUGCGGGCUGCUUUUAUGGUACAAUCAUAAAGCCUGGAUGAUGAGAGAUGACUAUCUGUACUGUGUUCGGUCUGUCAAUGAUUUAUCAGAGAACUGAAGCACAGUUUCUAUUUUGAUAUUUUACUGAAUGUAUAUUUGUACACUUGUAAGAUCUCGACAUCUAUAAUAGAGGGUUUAAUCACUGGAUAGAAUAAGGGAAACCUGGAAUUUUCUCAACUCUGAGGUGAUCCUACCAAACUCUGUAGAGUACGAGGGUGCAAUCUGUCAUAUGAACACCCGCGUGAAAGCACCUACGUCAGACUCUUAAUUAGACGAGACCUUCCUCUUUUGUGUGUAGCUACAUGAUGAGCUCUGGGAUGCAAAUUUAAUCUUGAUUUCCUAUAGCCAAUCAUGUAAUGAGAGGAAAGGUGCUUAACCUUGACAGUUCAAAAUCGAUAAAGUGAUAAUUUUCUCAUGAUUUUUGUGUCCAGGGUCCAGUGCUCAAACCACUACAGCACACUGUGUCCUUAAAAUAAUGAUGUUUAUAACAUUAUUAUUAUUAUUAUUAUUAUUAUUUGGACACUAAAAAGCAGAAACAAUCAUGUUUUAAAUCACAUUUUAUUUCUUUUAUCCUUUUUUAAAAUUAAAAUGUAUUGAUUAAUGGAAAACAAAAAAACAAUUCUUUACCUGAUCUAUUGGAAAUGUUACAGGAAAGUUGACGUUUGUUUUAUUGAGGUUUAAUUUCUUGACGUUUGAAUGAACUCUGCGUUCUUUCCCUUUAACGCGUGAAGGAGACCUUCAUAGACUGUGUCAGGCUUUCUCUGAAUCCUGAUUUUCGUUUGGGUCAUGUUUUCUGUGAAUGAAAGUAUACAGUAUGUCUGUUUUCCCAGAAUGUAGUACUUGAUGAACACAGAUUGAGGAUUCUGCUUUACGUAACGGCCUGACGCAAACACCAAACGUUAUAGAAGCAGAGUCUUUUCAAAGUCCCUCCAUGUCCAUGUCAUUCCUGUUCAUGCCCAUAGCCUCAUGUACAUUAUGGAAGUAUUUUUGUGUCACUUUUGCGCUUUGACAUUUCUCUUGUGGAGACUGCUGAUCUGUUAUUUAUGUCACUACAGUGUUAGUUCCUCUAAUCCUCGAUCCUGAUUUGUUAUCUGGCUGGAAAACUGAUAGAUUUGCCAAAAUAGCAUUUCUCUUUAUAUUGUUAACAGUUUGUUUCAUCCUUUCAUGGGGCAACUUCAUGUAUUGAUGUAGAUGCCUUAAAUAAACUGGACCACAUUAACUUAAUACAA